UCAGCUGUAACUCUGCAUCUUCUUGUUUUGUAGGAAUAUAAGUAAAGUUUACCAUGUUACGGACUUGCCUCGAUAUAAGCGCUGGAGAAGAAAUCUAAAGAAAAUGAAGUGAUUUGACUUUUUCGGAUCAGAAGCAUCGGUAGUAAGGUGAGCAUGUAUUUGUCAUGCAAAAAGAUUUGUGCUCAUGUCAAAUUAUGACACUAAUAAAUAAUUUAAUUUAGUAAGCUACAAAAAAAAAUUAUGUUUAUCUAUUAAUAGAAUGAAAUCUGUAGUUCUAGCAGUUAGCUGAUAGAUUAAAAAUUUGGGAUUCAAGUUCACUGCAUUUCUUGGAUGAUCAGCUUCUCAACCAUGUUAGAGCUUUGCAAACAAUGAAACAACAUUUAUGAGUGUAUAGUAGUAUUGUGUAAAUUAUGCAUUGUGUCCACAUUUAUUUUCCACUGUAUCUUUUGCUUUCAUAAAUAAUUGUUCGAAUAUUUGUUCAAAUAAUUAGUCCAACAUAGUAUUUGUGGGAGUGGGAGCAAGAACUUUGAAUUGGUAUUAGAGUCAGGUUUCAAAUAAACUCUUAACAUUUUUUUAUUUUAUUUUGCUGAUUUGCCUUCUUCAUUAAAUUAAUAUUCUUUGUUUUUCAAAACUAUAUUUUAUAUAUUUUGCAGCUUAACAAACUGGGUUAUGGAAUCGAACAAGAAGACUUGGUCAAAUUGCUAAAAUAGAAGGAGGUGGUCUUAACAAUGCCCUCAAUAUGGGACCCUUUCUCUACUAUCAAUACUUCGUGUGCGAAAUGCAAAUUUGGUGAAACUUCGUGUAUUUUUCGGUCAUUAACCCAUUAAAAAAAAUCUAUCUUCGACUUUAUAUUAAUCAUGAAAAGAAUAGUUUUUCAAAAAAAAUUAUAUUAAUUACUCCCUCCGUCCAUGAAAGAAAAGUUAGCUGUUUAUUAGGUGAGUAAGGAAAAAAGGUGAGUAUCUAUCACGCGAUAUGCUACCAAAAAGAUUUCUGGGCAUCUUAAAAUAUGAAACUAAUAAAUAAGUCUACUUCUACAAAAAGAAAAAAUUAUAUACUUUUGAUUAAUAUUUAAAUUUUCGAGCAUUUCUUUCUCCAAAAUAUAAUUUGGAAAUAAAUAAUAAAUUGAUGAGAACCAGAAAAAAAAGUGUUUGUUUGUUAGCUAAAUCUAUAGUUUAUCGGUUAGAGCAUCCGCAUUGAGGUUACAUGAUAGCCUACAUGAUUUUUUUAGUUUUGAUUUUUAUGUUUUUCACUUAAAUUUAGGUCAUAGUAAUUUGGGUUGUGUGGAUCCAUGAAGGGUGUAGAGAGAGGAAGA
rnacentral:lncRNA from 1 species